rnacentral:lncRNA from 1 species
AUGCCAACAGCAGUUGCCAAUAAACUGCUGCAAGGAGGUAACCAUCAGCCUGACAACUAGUUCAAGGUUUAAUUUUGUUUUCAUAACCUAAGCUUGAAGAGUGGUUACGUAUAUAUAUAACUUGAAAGCUGGCUUCUAGUACUUAAAAUCAAAACACAGUGAUCCGGUGAAACAAGGUGAUCCAAAGAAUGGUCUCACUUGCUGUGAGUAGGCUCAAAUGUGAUCCAGUUUCACAAACAGAAUCUAUCAUAGUAAUAGUGUUUAUAUUCAUGAUAGCUCCUUGACUAUACAGUACAUCCUGUUCUGAAGAUUUAUUAAUUAUUUUUUUACUCAUACCGGUUCUUUGUUUUAAGUGAAUGUCCCUAUAAUAUGAAAGCCCAUGGAUCAUAAUAAUAUUUUUGACGUGGUUUAUUCUUGCAUCUCACUGCAUGGUUUAAUGCACUUGCUUCGAUGGGAAAAUUCGGCUUAACACUUUGUCAAUAUUCUAACUCAUCUGAAACCAAGGUUAUUCUAGGACCAAAAUACCUGGGAUUAAAGAGGAGGGUUCAUGUGCUUAUAGACUGACACGUUCUCUAAAAAGCACAGUAAUUACAAAUUAAGUUCCCCCGGCUUAACAGAAGCAGAAAAUAGAUUAUGCAGACUCACAUAUUGUGCUUGCUUAUAACUUAGCUCCAGUACAUCCCCAUGUUUUAUUGGUCUUUCAGUCCCAGUUCUUUCACUGAAGAUUAGGAUCCCGUGAGGGCAAUAGCUAAUGAGCUGCAUAAUGGUCCCCUGCUUUCUCUUUAUGUUGGAUAACAUAGAAUAGUGAUGUCCUAGUGAUGAUGAGUGGUAUGGGGUGGGGAGUGGUUGAUGAAUUGAAGGUGUAUGGAGCCAAGAGAGGGUUGUCGCACUCAGGUCCUGUUCACAGGCUUCCCAUAGGCAUCUGGUUGAUCCCUGUGAGAACAGUUUGCUGGACUAGAUGGGCCUUCAGACUGAUCCAGCAUAGCUCUUCUUGUGUUCUCUGAGAGUCACAAACGUUGGAGAAAAUAAUAAUUUCAUACAACUGUAUUUUCAUUAUUCCAUUUUCUCUUGAGUCUGUGACCUAGAUAAACUAAAAGGGCCUGUACCUGCCUUUUACAGUACAGAAUGAGCUGCUUUUAGGUACUGUACAUAGUGAAUGUCUAAUCCAGAACACUGAGAAAAAUAAACUGUUAGACUCUAUGAUGGCCAUUGUAAGCAUGAAAAGAGAAUCAGCUAGACUUGGCAAUUGUGAUUAUUCUUGAAUUGUUUUGUAGACAGAUGAAAGAGGACAUUGGGGGGACAUGUAAUGAACAGGAAAAUUAGUCAAAGUCUUAAUAAAGAAAGACACUGAAAAAUGGUUAUAUGUAGUCACAUGUUAUUACGAUGAGGGCUGAUCUGAAGAGCCAAAUGAUUUUGAUUGGUUCAGGAUGAUGGCAUUGGGUUGCAAGUAUUAAGUUUGUUGUGAUCCUUUGAUUGGUGAAUAGAAAUGACAUGUGUAUUCUGGAAAUGUAUUUUUAAAAAUUGCUUUGUAUGUGGUUCUUUGCAGCCUCCUCCUUAUUUUUUGAGGCUGUCCCUGUGCACAUUUGCAUUUCAAUAAAGACCUAUCUUUUCACUUGGAGCUUGCAUCCUUUUCUUCUGGGUUUCUGUGAGUGUACGCUCCAGUCUGGAAACCCCCCUUUUAAAUUUCUCCAACGCAUACAGUAAUAGAACUAGUCCAUACUUUGAGAAAACAUACUUAGGCUAUACAUAUUCACAGAUAAUAGAAACUAAUCAUUCAGGAAAGAUUUUAAAGUCUUGGUUUAAGAGUCAUAUAUGUUGCUAUUACUCAGUAAAUGUGGCAUCUUUUCUAGGGUUGGAAAAGACUACUGUACAAUCUUUGCCUCAAAAGCAAAACAAUAUCCAAACUCUCAGUGGUGUGGAGGAUCAAAGGAAUUGGACCACGUUGCGGUUUAUUUCUGCCUAGAACUUGACUUCUGCAACUUGAUCUUACAGAAGGCUGGUUACUGAAUAUCAACAGAUGCUACGUGGCAGAUCUGAGCAUAUCGGUGCAUUUUGUGCAUCCCACGCUGUACCUGCACUGUACAACAUCUAGACAACAGUUCUCAAUAUAGCAUUAAAAGCAUUGACAAAA